GCUCGUCCAUCAGAAUGGUUUCGUCGUCGCGGCCGAAGCCGUAUUGGGCGAGGAUCUCCUGCAUGAGCGCGAGAUCGUUGCCUGCGCCGUCCAGAUUCUGGCCGUUUACGGUGUGCGGGUCAUAGGUGCCGACACCGACAACGACCGCAGCUCGUUCGCGACCGAUGGCAGCGCCGCCACAACAGAGGCACAAUAGCAACAGGAUGGCUGUGCGGACAGAGCUGGCGAGGCGCAUCGCAAGACCUCAGUUCGGCAGGAACAGGCGGUCAAAUCCAGUCAAGUGUGGCGGCAUAAAGCGCAACGUUUGGCGCUCGCAUAUCAGAGCCAUCCCCUUGGUUAGAUCACCCGCAAAACCCAACAGUUGAGCGCCUUCAGCUUCGGCCAC
rnacentral:tmRNA from 1 species